rnacentral:rRNA from 1 species
AUUGAACGCUGGCGGCAGGCUUAACACAUGCAAGUCGAGCGGGGGAAGGUAGCUUGCUACCGGACCUAGCGGCGGACGGGUGAGUAAUGCUUAGGAAUCUGCCUAUUAGUGGGGGACAACAUCUCGAAAGGGAUGCUAAUACCGCAUACGUCCUACGGGAGAAAGCAGGGGAUCUUCGGACCUCUCGCUAAUAGAUGAGCCUAAGUCAGACUAGCUAGUUGGUGGGGUAAAGGCCUACCAAGGCGACGAUCUGUAGCGGGUCUGAGAGGAUGAUCCGCCACACUGGGACUGAGACACGGCCCAGACUCCUACGGGAGGCAGCAGUGGGGAAUAUUGGACAAUGGGGGGAACCCUGAUCCAGCCAUGCCGCGUGUGUGAAGAAGGCCUUAUGGUUGUAAAGCACUUUAAGCGAGGAGGAGGCUACUUUAGUUAAUACCUAGAGAUAGUGGACGUUACUCGCAGAAUAAGCACCGGCUAACUCUGUGCCAGCAGCCGCAGUAA